CCUACGGGUGGCAGCAGUGAGGAAUAUUGGUCAAUGGACGCAAGUCUGAACCAGCCAUGCCGCGUGCAGGAUGAAGGCCUUCUGGGUUGUAAACUGCUUUUAUCAGGGAAGAAACCACAGAUUUCUAUUUGUGCCGACGGUACCUGAGGAAUAAGCACCGGCUAACUCCGUGCCAGCAGCCGCGGUAAUACGGAGGGUGCAAGCGUUAUCCGGAUUCACUGGGUUUAAAGGGUGUGUAGGCGGGCUUGUAAGUCCGAGGUGAAAUCUCCGAGCUCAACUUGGAAACUGCCUUGGAUACUAUAGGUCUUGAAUAUCGUUGAGGUAGGCGGAAUAUGUCAUGUAGCGGUGAAAUGCUUAGAUAUGACAUAGAACACCGAUUGCGAAGGCAGCUUGCUAAACGAUUAUUGACGCUGAGGCACGAAAGCGUGGGGAUCAAACAGGAUUAGAUACCCUUGUAGUC
rnacentral:rRNA from 1 species